GAUGAAGAACGCAGCGAAAUGCGAUAAGUAAUGUGAAUUGCAGAAUUCAGUGAAUCAUCGAAUCUUUGAACGCACAUUGCGUCCGCCAGUAUUCUGGCGGGCAUGCCUGUUCGAGCGUCAUUUCAACCAUCAAGCCCCCGGCUUGUGUUGGGGACCUGCGGCUGCCGCAGGCCCUGAAAAGCAGUGGCGGGCUCGCUGUCACACCGAGCGUAGUAGCAUACAUCUCGCUCUGGGCGUGCUGCGGGUUCCGGCCGUUAAACCACCUUCAUAACCCAAGGUUGACCUCGGAUCAGGUAGGAAGACCCGCUGAACUUAAGCAUAUCAAUAAGCGGAGGA
rnacentral:misc_RNA from 1 species